ACAGCCCCAGUUUUCUUACAUAGCUAAAAAUAUAGCUGCUACAACUGGGUCUAAGUGGCUGCUGGAGUCAAUUGUCAGAUGAGGCCCCGGGUCCAGAGAAGCCACUGGAAAUAUAGCAGUACAGAGGUCUGCAGCCUGUUUCUACAGGGCCAUUGGCAGCCACAGAGCUGAAGAGUCAUGAAGAUACUGGUUUGGAUGGAAUUGGAAGCUAGUACCUGUAACUGGGAGUUACAGUAAUCUUGAUUAGAUCAUGCACACAAACAGACACAAGUUUAUGGAGGAUAAACAUGGCACUGGACAAGUGCCCAAACUCAGACAGCAGCCAUCAUGAGUUCUAAAUCCAUGCAGCAUUGUCACUUGUUUUCAGUCUGCCAUAAAACUACUGCCGCUUUUGUGAUAGCCCUAGUAUGAUCUAGUCAGUUAACAUUGCGGACCUAGGUCAUUUUCCAUUACAGCAGCAGUGUUUUCCUCACCCGUUGUAUGCUGAUGCACUAGCCAGGCAGGUUGCUUUUUGUGUGUCUGAAUGCAUUCCCUGAUGGAUGACCAAGUAUUGAUUUUCUUCAGUGCUCACUAAUGACAUCAGGUGAGCUGACAGAUUUGAACAUUUGCUCUGCCUGUCAAAAAUGCUUAAUUGGUGUCCCUAAAGAAUCACAAUGUUCCUGACAGAA
rnacentral:lncRNA from 1 species